CUAAGGCCAUACCACAGCAGCUAUAUGAUUAUUAUCAUGAUUGUAUGAGAUAUAAAGGUUAUUGGCUUUAGUGCAAGUGGGAGAUUGAAAGAAAAGUGCCCUAUAAGCCAAUCGCAAGUAUGUUGCGAUGGGACUUUCUUUACAAUUUUUCAACUCAUGAAAUGAUAUUUAUUAUUAUUUGAGGCAUUGAUUCAUCAUAUUAGCUGCAUCUUAUUAUAUCUAAGAUUAUGAUAAACUCCAAAGAUUAGGAUAAUAAUUUUAGGAGACAUGAAUUGGUCAUGCUAGUGAAACCUAAAAUCCUAAUAUUAAAUAU
rnacentral:lncRNA from 1 species